UUUUUUCAAGUUCCACCUCUUGGAAAAAUAUAU
rnacentral:sRNA from 1 species